UAGAGUAAUACAUAAGUAACCUGCCCUAGACAGGGGGAUAACUAUUGGAAACGAUAGCUAAGACCGCAUAGGUACGGACACUGCAUGGUGACCGUAUUAAAAGUGCCUCAAAGCACUGGUAGAGGAUGGACUUAUGGCGCAUUAGCUGGUUGGCGGGGUAACGGCCCACCAAGGCGACGAUGCGUAGCCGACCUGAGAGGGUGACGGCCACACUGGGACUGAGACACGGCCCAGACUCCUACGGGAGGCAGCAUG
rnacentral:rRNA from 1 species